AACGAACGCUGGCGGCAGGCUUAACACAUGCAAGUCGAGCGCCCCGCAAGGGGAGCGGCAGACGGGUGAGUAACGCGUGGGAAUCUACCCAUCUCUACGGAAUAACGCAUGGAAACGUGUGCUAAUACCGUAUACGUCCUUCGGGAGAAAGAUUUAUCGGAGAUGGAUGAGCCCGCGUUGGAUUAGCUAGUUGGUGGGGUAAAGGCCUACCAAGGCGACGAUCCAUAGCUGGUCUGAGAGGAUGAUCAGCCACACUGGGACUGAGCAACGGCCCAGACUCCUACGGGAGGCAGCAGUGGGGAAUAUUGGACAAUGGGCGCAAGCCUGAUCCAGCCAUGCCGCGUGAGUGAUGAAGGCCCUAGGGUUGUAAAGCUCUUUCACCGGUGAAGAUAAUGGCGGUAACCGGAGAAGAAGCCCCGGCUAACUUCGUGCCAGCAGCCGCAGUAAAAC
rnacentral:rRNA from 1 species